UACGAAGGGUGCAAACGUUGCUCGGAAUCAUUGGGCGUAAAGCGCACGUAGGCGGCCUGUUAAGUCGGAUGUGAAAUCCCUCGGCUCAACCGAGGACGUGCAUUCGAAACUGGCAGGCUCGAGUAUGGAAGAGGGUCGCGGAAUUCCCGGUGUAGAGGUGAAAUUCGUAGAUAUCGGGAGGAACACCAGUGGCGAAGGCGGCGACCUGGGCCAAUACUGACGCUGAGGUGCGAAAGCGUGGGGAGCAAACAGGAUUAGAAACCCCCGUAGUCC
rnacentral:rRNA from 1 species